CCAGUUCAAUCCUUUUCCAAGAAUGUUUUGGUAAUAAUAAAAAAAUACUUUUCAGGUAAUUGAGAUAAUAUCUUGGUCUCAUUGAGAUGAUCAUAUUUUUCCGAUUCAGGUAAUUGAGUCUGUUGAAUUAAAAAAUAAAUUGCAACAAUCCCAUCAGUAUUUGAUUGCUAAGGUUGAAGCUUCUCUCCUACAAUUGAAGCAGAAAGCAAACAGCUUUGAUCAAGUUGCGGUGUGUUAGAUAAGCUGUACACUUUUAUUAAUUUAUUCCCAAUAGUUUUAGUGGAGGGAUCGUAAUCUUUAAUUUAGUUUAUUUUCUUCUUGCAGUCCAUUUUGGAAAACCUGGAUAGUGGUAAACAAGUGCUUCAGCUUGCAGAUGUUGAAUGUGAAUCGUUAACUUUCAAUUAUGAUUUCCAAUCACGACCAUGGUGGACACCAGCUGUAGAUGUCAACUAUCUUUUAGGUUUCAGAAUUACAUCUUUCUUUUCAAUGUUUUAUUUUUGAAAUUGCUAUCUUCAACUAAAUUUUAAUAUUCACAGGACCAUUUGAUGUUAAUCUUGUUUUAUCCCAGGAGUCACUGGUAUAUUUACAGUACUUUACACUCUAAAAACUUGGCAUGUACAUUUUAUCUAUCUACAUCUUAUUAUAUAAUGUUCGAUCCAGAAUAGAUCUGAGCACCACAAUCGGUAUGGAUCUCUUCCGUUGGUAAGGGAUUCAUGCAAUAUGAUUGAUAGUCUUCAACUGAGAUUUAGUCCCUAGGGAGAUAUUGUACUCUGGACAACUGUGCUAAUUUUAAUGUCCCGUUUUUGGGAUCAUUUCAAUUAUCAAGUAACCAGAUCUUGAGUUGAUCAGGUGGUAUUGUCAUGCUCCGAUAAACCACUCAAAUUCUCUCCUCUCAAUUGUCUGGGGAGCUCUGGACUAGAACUUCUCCUUUAGGGAAAAUGUAAUGACAUGCAUUUCCAUCUAAUUAGACCAGCUCAUUCUAUAUAUUGGUCACUGGUCAGAUAUCUUCUUCAUUUAGUGUAUCCAUGUUGGCUGUUGAUCUGUGGACCUCGAUACAUUACAUUUACAAAUUACAAUUACUACAAUUUAUAGGUUUGGGAGACCAAUCUCCUGAGACAACACUCCUAGUUACUAGAUCGCUAAGGGUUACAGCCAUAAUGAAGAGAGUCGAUGAGCCUACCCAUCUCCUUCAUGUUUUUGUUUUUCUAUCUUUUAUCUCUUCCACAUUGUAACUCAGGGUAUUUCCCUUCAUUUUUAUUAAUGUAAAACUUAACUUCUUGCAAAAAUAAAAUUGUCAUACAUGAAUGUUUAUAAUCAUGUAGUUUAAGCUAUAAUCACGACUAACAUUCCCUGAACAGAUAAAUUGUCGUCUUGAUUUAUGGUGCUCUAAAUUCUAAGUGUUCUUAUCUAAUGUUUACUUAUUUUAAAUUUAUUAUUUAUAUAUCUUAUGUAGAUCCCAUUAUUUUAUUAUUAUUAUUAUUAUUUUUUUUUUUUUUUUGAAGUAGAUCCCAUUAAUCCAUUAUUGUUAGUUGCAAGUUGCAACUGUUUUUCAACCUUGUUGAUUUCUUAUUUGAAUUGGUAAUGCUUUCGUAUUUUAAUCCUCUUUCUUUGGACAGGAGAAUCAUAAUUUGGAUGAUAAAAAAAAGGCUGCCAUGGCAUCCGUUAAGAAAAGAUCACUCAUACCUAGGCUAUUGUAUCUCUCAAUCCAGGCUGCUUCAUGUUCACCCAGGAUAGCAUCUCCUUCAACUGCUUCAAAUAAUAUUGAAAUUAGUUCUGAGUUUAAGCUUCUCUUGGAAAAUUAUUCAGUAAUCUUGGGUUGUUCUUUUGAUGAAGCAGUAUCAUCUAUCACAAACAUCAGUUACUCAGAAGAUUGCAGUUCUCUUAAGGUUUUUCUUAUUAUUAUUUCCCAUUUCUUUCUGUUAACAACUUAACAUGUAGCUAAAAUUCGAGCGAGUGAGAGAGAGCCAGCCCCCGAGCGAGCGAUCAGGGCUAGGGAUCCUGAUCGCGAGUCCUGUUCGCGAAUAGAGAAAGGGGGGAGUUUCUCGCGGCUAGGGCACCUACGUGCCUGCCGGUCUGGGAGUUGCAUCUUUUGGCCGCUGGUCUGUUUUGCUCGCGGCUAGGAGGAGAAAUCCAUCUCCUUACGAAACAGUGACUCCUUUUCACCCCCGGUAAGGCAGAGCACCAUGUGCUGGUUUCAAAACCUCUGAUCUUCCACUACACAAUUUAAGUGAAACUGUUGGGUGAUUUUUCCCGGAGAAAGAUGGGAAAGACCACACCAAAAGAACGAUAAGAGGCCAAAGCGCCCACCCGGGUUUUUUCAUCACCCACCAGUUUCAGAAGUUCUUGUGUAGUGUUGAAUCAGUCACUUUGGAGCCAUGUGUGAUGCUUCUUUCUUACAUGGAGACCUUCAGGAGUUUUCUGUGCAGCACUCUCCGUUUUUAGGUUAGUGAGAGCCACCACACACAGAGAGAGCAGCAAGGAGAGUUUCAAAAAAAAAAAAUGAGCGAAGCAGUCUGGAGACAUUUUCAGAGCGAAGACCUCAGCAAUAAGCACAAGGUGGAGAAACAAGGGAGGGAUGAAGGUACGAAUUUUCAAAAGGAAAGAGAACAAUUCUAGAGGGAUUUCUAUCAAAGGCAUAGCAACCAAAAAGUCACGGGCAGGAGGAAGGAAAGAACUAUGGACACACUUAGCAAUGGAAUUAUCCACAAAUGGAAGAAGGAGACCUCAGACUCAUUUUAUCAACUGCGUCGACUACAAUUUGCACCCCCUCUGAUUAGAAAUGGUACCCAAUAUGCAUAUGUUCACAGAGCUGAUUUGGAACUGCCCAAAUAUGGAGAAAUUCUUAAGCUCACCAUUAGAGCCUUUGGAAAGACCCCCACGAUGAAAGCUAUCUUAUGCCUAGCAAAGAACAAAUGGGAUGUGAAAGGAAAAAUACAAAUCGCAAAAUACCCAAACGCCACUUUCAACAUGGCCUUUCAACUAGGAGAGGACUAUCUAAAAAUCUCAGAAAGAGUGUGGGAAUCCCUCGGAGAUACUAUUCUGAUGGUGAGAAAGGAACCACCGGAACUGGUGGCCAAGGAGUCCUACGAUUGGCUUCCACAAUGGGCAUACAUAAGCAACAUCAGACCAGAGAUGCUCUCAAAGACAGUAAUAGACUCAAUAGUAAGUGUUCUAGGCCCACCCAUUGGGGCUGAGUUCAUAGACACCCCCCGGCAUCCUCACAGCCUCAAAGUAGUUUAUCAGGCAGAACCGGUUGGAAACUACAAAUCUCGCAUCCCGGUUAUCAUAAAUGAAGGGGAUGGAAAGGAAUUGGUUUUAGAACUCAAAGUGCACUACGACUCCAUCCCCUUAAGAUGUUGCAAGUGUAUGAAAUUUGGCCACCCAACAGCCCAAUGCAAAAGCAUCCUUCCACCACCACCCCAUCUGAUGAAAACCCAUCAGGUUAUUCCAGCAAUAAUAAAUCAGGAAAAGGAACCGAUGACCCAAACAAUAGCAACAAAACAGGCCAGGAAAGACCCACCAAGCAAAGAAAGGCAUGUGGCAGAAAUAGUCAAAGCGUGGCCUCCUAAAAAAGACUCUCUGGGAGGAAAAGAAGGAAGCAUGGAAGAAGACCAGCAACAAAUCUCCAAGACAGUUAUCUUAUAUGAGAUGGACAGGACUGAAAAAGAUACACGGUCGCUUUUUACAGAGAUAUCCCAGACUGAAAAGGAAGAUAGAGAGGAGGAAGUAAUAUCCCACACCUUGGCAAUAUCCUCUACUAACAGCAACCCACACAAGACAAAAAAACAAACUACUCUCACAUUAUGCUAUAACCGGUGGUCCUUGCUCACAGAUAGGCAGGAGGAGUACGAUCCAGAUAGCAGCUCACACUCAGACAAGCCACAGGAGAAAAGCGACAAGUCUAAGGAGCAUAGUUGGGAGGACAUCAAUGGGCUUUCUUCAAACGAUUCUGAUUUCUCUGUGGUCCAACAGCAGGUAAAUUAUUUCCAUAAAAUAGUUGAAGAAGGAGGGAGAGUUUCAAACAGCCAAGACAUGCCAAAGGAUGGGUCCAAAAAUAAGUUACAAAAUAAAAAUAUANNNNNNNNNNNNNNNNNNNNNNNNNNNNNNNNNNNNNNNNNNNNNNNNNNNNNNNNNNNNNNNNNNNNNNNNNNNNNNNNNNNNNNNNNNNNNNNNNNNNNNNNNNNNNNNNNNNNNNNNNNNNNNNNNNNNNNNNNNNNNNNNNNNNNNNNNNNNNNNNNNNNNNNNNNNNNNNNNNNNNNNNNNNNNNNNNNNNNNNNNNNNNNNNNNNNNNNNNNNNNNNNNNNNNNNNNNNNNNNNNNNNNNNNNNNNNNNNNNNNNNNNNNNNNNNNNNNNNNNNNNNNNNNNNNNNNNNNNNNNNNNNNNNNNNNNNNNNNNNNNNNNNNNNNNNNNNNNNNNNNNNNNNNNACCUCAAAUACUCCAUCCUACUAUAAAAGGCAGAAGAAGCGGGGCAAAAAAUACUCUAGAAAAACCACCAAGCAAACAAGCAAAGAUGGGAAGAGGAAAGUUAGGAGAGCACUCCCUUGUGUCUCCCUAAGAUCCACUCAUAACCCAUGUUGGAUCAGUCAUGCAACUAAAAUCAGGAAAAACAGAACAGAGAGAAGGAAAAAUAGAAUGAUAGUUAGAGGUUGGUCCCAAGGCCAUCUAAAAGGUGCGGACAGAUCCGCACUGGGGAACCAGUAAUCACCCAAAUUACCCUGUAAGUUAGGAAAGCCAACCCCUAAUGGCUUUCCUAAUUUGGAAUGUUAGGAGAUUUAAUCCGGAUGAAAUGCAUGCAGAGGUUAAGAAUCUAGUGAAGCUUAAGGAAAUUGAAAUAAUAAGAGUGGUUGAAACAAAAAUAAAGGCACAUAAGGUGCAGGCAAUUAAGGAUGCUUUUGGUCCAGAUUGGAACUCCCAUAACAAUGGAGACCCCAACCAGCCACUGCGUGCUGACUCAAUUUGGACUUUCUGGAGGAAGGACAAAUGGUCAAUAGAUAUUCUAAACACUCACCAACAAUUUACGCAUCUUAGACUUAAAAACACCCUAGGGCUAGAAAUCCUAUAUACACCAGUCUAUGGGAAAAACACUAGAGAGGAAAAGAGACAACUAUGGGAUGGGAUUCAACAAAUAGGGCCCAUAAACAAUACACCUUGGCUAGUGGGUGGGGAUUUCAAUGAGAUCAGGUCUCCAUAGGAGAGAAUAGGACCAAGGAUAUACUCCCAUGGAGGGCCAUCAGAUUUCAUUAAUGCCACAAAUAUGGCUCAAUUAUUUGAGCUGCCAUCUAUAGGGGGGGGACUACACAUGGACAAACGACUCCUCUGGCCCAAAUUUCAUACAAUCCAAAUUGGACAGAGCUUUUACAAACCAACUAUGGAUGAACACAUGGCCUGAAGUCAGAAUAGAUUUCCACAACGGUUCUAGUGACCACAAGGCAAUGAUCAUCAUCCUAUCUCAGGUAGAGAAAGGUGCUAAACCUUUUAGACUAUAUAACUCUUGGUUGGAAGACGAGACCUUCUGCGAGAUAGUGAAAGAAGGACUAAGGAAAAAUACUAGAGGAACAGGGCUAUUUAGACUUCAACAUAGGCUAAAGGAAGCAAAAAUCAGAAUCAAACAAUGGGCAGCAACUAAAGGUCACUCUGCAAAACUAGUGCAGGAGAUCAAGGAAAAAUUAGAUAUUACCUCCACAGCUCUGGAGAAAGACCCAAGCUCAGUCCAUCUACAAUCCAAAAGUGUGGAACUGAGAAAGGAGCUCAAGAACCUAUUCCUUAGGGAAGAAACUGACCUUAAGCAAAGGAGCAAAGUCUCCUAGCUUAAGGAAGGAGAUAAAAAUACCAGGUUUUUCAGCAUAGUCACAAAACAAAGAAAAGCAAAAAACUCCACACUUAAAAUGCUAAACAAAGAAGGGAACCAAAAUAUCACAAGAUCCCAACUGGAAAACAAUAGCAUGACCUAUUUCUAAAGCUUGUUCAAAAGAGGAGACUCUCCCCAUCGAGAAAUCCCAACUAUCUUCCCAAGGAUAGUGUCUGCAGAUAUGAAUGAGUGGUUGAUACAAGUACCCCUAGAGGAGGAGAUCAGGGAAGUCCUAUUUUCCUUUAAUACAAACAAGUCUCCGGGCCCAGAUGGUUUCACUUCGGAAUUCUUUAAAAAAAUUUGGGCGGAACUGAAAGGAAAUAUAAUGGACUAUGUGUACCAAUUUUUCAAAGGAAAACCUCUCUUAAGGGCCACAAACUACACUUUCCUAACUCGCAUUCCAAAAACAAACACUGCAUCUGAAAUGGGGGAUUUUAGGCCCAUAUCAUGUGUAAAUCUUAUUUAUAAGCUUAUGACCAAGGCCCUAACGAACAGAAUAAAUAUGGUUUUGCCAUAGCUCAUAUCACCAAACCAAACAGCCUUCAUAAAUGGCAGACUAAUAUCAGACAACACCCUACUGGCAGAUGAAAUGCUCUAUGGAUAUGGUAGGAAAAGAACCCCUAAAAGGUGUUGUCUAAGUGUUGACCUCAGAAAAGCUUUUGAUACUAUAAAAUGGGAGGCAAUAAUUGACAUACUAAAAGCAUAUGGCUUCUCCCCCUCCCUAUGCAAAAUAGUGUGGAAUUGUAUAUCAACGGCAUCUUUUUCAGUUCUAGUAGAAGGGACUCCAACUCCCCCUUUCAAGAACUAAAGAGGGAUAAGACAAGGGGAUCCCCUAUCCCCAAUCCUCUUUGACAUAGUUAUGGAUGUGCUGAGUAGGUUAAUUGAAAGAGAGGUAGAGGCGAAAAAGAUGGAUGUGCUGAGUAGGUUAAUUGAAAAAGAGGUUAAUGGAGCAACCUCCAUAUCUCACCUAAUUUAUGCAGAUGAUGUCCUGAUUUUCUCUAAGGCAAACAUUAAGUCUCUGAAUACAAUUAAGAAAAUCCUGGAAAAGUUCUCAUCCUUCUCUGGGAUAGAGGUUAAUGCUUCAAAAAGCUCAAUGACGCUAUCAAAAGUUUGUGAGAAUGACCAGUCACUCCAAAACAUCCUAGGUUUUUUUAUCAAAGUACUCCCACUCACAUACCUAGGACUUCCAAUAACAGGAAAAAAGAAAUCCUAUAACCAAUGUUGGAAGCUGAUCCAACCCAUUGAGGCAAUGCUGGCAAAAUGGAAGGGGAAGUGCCUCUCUUAUGGGGGAAGAAUUCAGUUAGUAAAUUGGAUUCUGGCUGGGAAAUAUACAUACUGGGCACAAGGCACAGCACUACCAGAAUCAGUAACUAGCAAAAUAAGGAAAUUAGCCUAUAAUUUCAUAUGGGAUGGGAGAAAGGGAAUCCCAUGGAAGCAGAUGAUUCUCCCCAAAGCAGAGGGAGGCUUAGGGGUUAGUUAGAAACCUAGGAAUCAUAAUACCCGCCAUAAAUAUCAAAAGAAUUGCAAACUUCUGGACAUAAUCAGACUCAAUUUUUAAUACAUGGAUCCAAGAGAGAUACAUAAAAGAAAGAGCCCUUACAAACAUCCUUGUAAGGACCACCAUAGACCCCCAUUUUUGGAAAUAUGUAAUGGCAGACAACCCCAAAGCCAUUGCACUAGUUGAAUGUAGGGCCAAUUAUACAACCCUCUGGAAAAAUGGAAACCCAAUCAGGAAACUUGCAGCAAUGUGUGAGGAGAUCAGGGAUAAAAUCCAUAAGGAUAGCCUAGCAGAAGGAAUAUAGGCCCAUAAACCCACAAAUUUUUCCAUAUUUCUAUGGAGGAUAAAGUGGGCACACCUAAACACCUUUAUCAAAUUAAAUGGAUGGGGUAUGCCAAUCCAGCCCAUAUGUUUAUUAUGCAAUAUGGAGAAUGAAUCCAGAGCCCACCUAUUUUUCAAUUGUCCCUACUCUAGAGCCAUCCUCCUUCCCCUGGUUAAAAACUUAAAUAACAUUUUCUGGAAGAUACUAAAAAUACCCACUCCCACCACCACUCACCCAGACAUUAGAAUAGGGGACCUAACUGAGGCAUGUCAAAGGCUGUCACAUCACUCUCCAAUUUGGGCACUACUUUGGAACAUGAUUGAAUCCUUAUGUUGGCACAUAUGGGCAGAAAGAAAUCGUAGAUGGAAACAGCAUACUCUCAGACCACCAGAAACAGUGUUAAAGGAGGUAAUCAAGGACAUCAGCUUAUCCUUCAAGCCUGAGUGCUUCAAGAAAAGUUGUUGUCAUCUUUUGGAGACUAGCACAAUGCAGAUAUGGGAGACCAACCUCCGGAGUCAGAUAGUCUAGAGUCUUUCUCUAGGCAGCAUGGCUGUGUAGAAAGUGUCACAAUAUCCAUAUUUAUAUUUUAUGUUUAUUUCCAUUGUAUUUUUCAGGGCAUUGCCCCUCAUUUUUCAUUAAAUAAAAACAUUUAACAGCUUCAAAAAAAAAUGUAGCUAAAAUCCCAUCAUUAAUUCACAAUAUUAAUAUUUUUAGGAAAAAAUCCUAAUUCUUUUAGAUAAUCAUGUUUUCUGCUGAAAGUUAACUCUAAAAAAAUCUUCCUUUCUGCAAUGAAACAGUGAACAGAUGACAGAUUUUGUGAGAUCCUUAUUUUUGACGAAGUUAAAGUCUAUUAGAAUUGAAAUAAAACAGGAAAAUACAUAGUAAAGUAAAGAUAAAAUAGAUAACUAGCGUGAGAAAUGGGGCAAGCCCAUUGACUCUAAUUCUAUAUAGAAGUUUGCCACGGAAGUGAAGCCUCCCAUAAAUUUAAACACUAUUUCCAUUUUCCACUGCUGUGCUGUCCUUGUAGAAUUCUUUCUUGAAGGAUAGGCUUGACCGCUUAGGUCCUUUAUAAUUUCUUUUAAGAACACUUCUGGUGGCUUCAGAUUGUGGUUUUUGAGUCUUCUAUUCCUUUCUGCCCAUAUGUGCCAUGUUGGGAUGUCAAUGAUGUUCCAAUGCAGCGCCCAGCAUGGUGCUUGCUGAUUAGAACUUAUGGAUCUAGCAGAAUAAUGGAGAAAUGAACCUUUUAAAUGUGGUUCGGUUCUUUAAAAAACAACUCCACAGGGUGGUGUAUACACUGGUGAUAUGAAAUUAUGAAUUACAAUAGAAUAGUUACAUUGACUCACCAUAUUUUAUAGUUAGGUUAUAUUGAGUGGAUCCCAGUUCAUCCACACUAUCAUGUGUGAUGUGACUCACACGUCAUGACAUGACAUGGAUGGAUAAAUCUGUGCACACAUAACAGACACUAUAUACUCCACUUAUAACUCCCAACAAUAACAAAUAUAGCCAUAAUUUUUUAAAACCUCAAAUAAACAUGUACUUUCUUUCAAAAAUGAGAAUGACUAGCUUGCUGCCCUAAUCAGUUGUUUUGUUGGGGGUUUAUGAAGGAGUGACGAUUAGGAUUUAACUUUUUUAUACCAACAGACUCAAAAGUUGCUCCUUUAAAAAAAUAUUGCAUAUAAAUAAAUGCUUACAACACAAAAAUAUUUUUUUUCAAGCAUUUUACACCAGAGUUUUGUAUUAAUGAGUUGUUUUCUUCAAUUUUAUUUUACUAUAUUGUUUUAUUUCCAGUUAGUGAGUAGAGAACCACCGUUGUGAUAGUUAUUGUGAUUUUCCUUCUUGAACAUCGGCAGGUUUUUGGCUCAGACAUGGUUUACUGGAUGAACUUUGCCAUAUUUUUCUUUGCUUGGAAUAUAUAUCUAAGGGGUGCUGGGAUUGUAUCGGAUGAAGAUAUAUCUUGCACUUUCAAUAUUGUUGAUAACCUUCUAAAGAACUGCAUUAAAAAGCAGCUGUCCUCUGCACAGCCUUUGCUAGCAUCUCCUGGAAGCAACCUGCCAUUAUUAACACAAGUAAUAUCUGAAUCCUUUUCUUGGUACCUGUUGAUCAUCCAAUCUCAUUUUAGAUCAAUAACAAUUCCAAUUGGAAAAAAGAAAAAGAAAAAUGGCCAAAUGAAUCAGGAGCUUUCACUGUUAUCAAAAAUUAUUCAAUGUACCAUUCCCUCCCUUAAAUGUGUUAUAUUAGAUAUAAAAUCAUGGGCUCAAGAACAAAUAAACCGACCAGUUGAUCAGAGUUUGGAUUUUAUUGUAUGCCGAUUACAUGAAGAAGGUGAAGAGGAUGGCCCAGGCAAGGUCCUUCGGAUUCUGGAACAAAGUUUGCAUAUAUCAAAAUCUGAAAUUGGUGAUUUAACAGAAAAGGCCUUGGAAUCAUGGAACAGCAUUGAUGUGGCAACGAAAUUCAUUGAUGGGCAGCGAAUUGUGCUCUUUGAGUUAAGUAAUAUCUGCGAGUCAAAAUUGAAGCUACUUGAUUCAAUGAAAUUCUCAAGUUAGUAUCAUCAUGUUUUUUAAAAUAUAUUUUUUGAGAGCUUUUAGAGAUUUAUGAUAUGAGCCUAUUAUGGCAAUUUCCUAAGGAUUUGAUUUUUGAUACUUGAAUUUUUUAUUCAAUACAUAUGUAAAAUUUGGCAGCACUAGUUUUGCAGAUGAAAUGAGCUUAGGAUUGUUAAGGUUCUCGAGAUCUCAUGAACAAGGAAUCUUACCAAAAAGAAAAAAAAAAUUAACUUAAUAGAGAUCUAUUUAUACGAUUAGAGAGGAGAUUAAUCCACUUUCUUUUUUUGAAAAAUUAAAACUUUUAUUACUGAAAAAUGAGGUUGAGCAUAGCCCAAGAUUACAUAAUAUAGAGAAAUACAAGUACAGCAAAUGUAAAAACAUUGUCUAUUUUUUAUAUAGCUAUGGUCCUGACUAUCUCUCAAGAGGUUGGACUCUCAUGAGUGUAUAGUUUGUAUUUCAAUCUGUGAAAGAUUGUGUUUCUUAUAGGAGGAUGUAGAUGAACCCACUUUCUUUAAAGCAAACAACGUCUUCUUUGGGAAUGAAUUAAUAAAAACAGAAGUAAAUCUUUUCAAGGCAAAAACAAUUUCUUCUUAUCUGAUGUCACUGCUAGUCUGAUACAGCCUUACUAUCUAAUCAGUAACCAUGUUAUUAUUGUCUUGGGGAUUAACAAAAACUAGGAUUUGGUAAACUAGAACAUAUCCCUCAAGUCAGAAGAAAGAAGGAAGAUACUACAGAUUUGAUUGAGUUAAAAGAUUAGUUUCAGGUGAGAUAUAAAAAUGAGAUAUCUUGUAAGAUAAUUGAUAUCGGUCAUCUGUUUUUUUUAAGAUAUGAUAAAAUGAGAUGUAGUAUGCAAAAAACAAAAAAAAACAAAAAUUCUAAAAAUGAUGGAUCUACCAAUAUCUCAUGAUGUUUUAUGAAUGGUGGUAGAUCUACCAAUAUCUCACGAGAUAUUUAUGUUUUCUUCGAGAUGUGAUAUUGGUCUGGCAUCGAGAUGUGAUCAUUAAAAGAUAAAAAAUAAUAAUUGUAGGAUGUCAUAUUAAUGAUAGAUCUAUUAAUAUUUUACGAGAUAUUUAUAUUUUUUUUCGAGUUGUAAUAUCUCGGACAUAAAAACUAAUAACCGUUGAAUGAUAGUGGAUCUAUCAAUAUCUAUUUUAUUUUGAGUAUCUCAUGGGUACCGUUCCCUGAGUUUAUAAUCUUGAAAAUAAGAUACAAUGUUUGUAAUUUUUUUAAUGGUUUUAUUAGGAUUUUGUUGCGUUUAGGUAUAACGAACGAUCAAUAUGGUGCAAUCAUAAUACGCGGGCUACUAAUUGAAUUCGAGUAAUCUACAUCACACAUGCAUAUCAAUUAGAUCAUUUAGAAUUCAACCUUUUUUAAAGUCGUUGCAACGACAACACGGUUCAUGCUUCGCACGACAUAUGUAAAGACUCGAAUGUAUUUAUUAUUUAUUAAUUUAUGUACAUGUUUUCAAAUGCGUAGUAAAACAGAGUAUCUUGGCUUCAUAUUGACUACUGAGAAGUGAAUUCAAACAAAGAUCAUCAGGGAAACAGAAACUUGCCAAAUCAUAUUAUUGAAUAUUAUUCUUGGCGCAUUACAAACACAACCAAAUCAAAAUCAGCAAGUUAAGUUUUUUUUUAUAUCUAUAACAAAGAGUUCUUCCUCAAUAACUAUAAAUAUAGCAACAUACAUCAUAUAUUUCGAUCAAAAUGUAAUGAAGAGAUGAAAAGGUAAUUUAAAACCUCAAGUAACCAACCAAAGUAAUUAGAGUUGAAACAAAGCAUAAGAUUAAGCAGCCAUACCAAACAAAUAACUAACCUCAUUAAUCAUUAUUAGUAAGGCGGUUGUCCAGUGUAAUAGUAUCCUCCAUAUAAAGGCUGCAUUCCAUAACCCAUCUGCAUUCCAUAAGGUGGUAUUUGUUGAGGUUGGCCUUGCAUUCCAUUCCUCUCAUACUGCUGCCACAUCAACUGUUCUUGAACAACAAGUUGUUGCUUCUUCUCUAUCUCAGCCAUUUGCACAUAUGAGGGAGCAGGCACUGACAGAGAUGCCAUGAAUGGAUCUUCAUUACCAAUGGUUUUCACAGUUCCGUCGGGUGCUGGAAGAGCUAGGACUUGGCUUUUACCACCCCCAGGAAGCGGUAACGCAACACUACUUGAACUUCCUCCAUCGUUUUUGGACGCCACAUGUUGUCUCACUGCACCUUGUUCAUACAUUCCAUCCAGAAGAAGAUUGUCGAACCCACCUGCCAUUAACGCUUUCUGUUUCUCAAGGUUACCUGCUGUUUCAACAAGGGCAAGUUCCCAAUCUGCUUUCCCAGCUUCUGCUGCUGGAUUCUGCCAAGCAGACGUGACCUCAGACUCUGCUGGUUGAUCAGAUGGGAAUGCCUCCCAAGCACCAUUGGUAAUUGCAGUAGAUUUUCCGGUUGUUGAAGCACCAGUGCCAGAAAAAAGACUCAAUGCAAGCUUGUUCCCCUGCUCAUCAGCUGUCAUGGUAUCCUCUCGAAGAUCAACAAGAGGUGGUGUUGGAGCUGCUGGUGACUUCUUCACUUGUACCGUAGUCUGAACUUCCGGAAACUUGGGCUCAAAAUCUUCAGGAGCAGGGAGUGCUUUAAUAUCACCCAUAUCUGUCAAUGUUGCUUCGUCUUCCUCCUCAUCGACCACCACCUCAUCCUUAAUCUCAGUUUUAGGCUCUAUGUAAGGUGUCUUUGCAAUUCCGGCUUUAUCCCUCAUCAUCUCCUCCAAAGUGUCAAGUAGCCUAUCUGAAAUCCGUUUCACUUCUGGAUACUCCGAAGAUCUAGCUAUCCCGAUAUCUUUACACCAACCAUAAAACCCAAGAAGUUCAUUGAUCUGCUUCGCAGCAAUUGCGUAAGCAUCAAAAGCCUUCCUGGAAUUAUCAUAGUCCAAAUUCGGAAACUGAUCGGCUAAUACUGCCAGGACCUCACAAAUAUCUGCAUACAGUUGAAAAUUCUCUCUCACGAUUGGAUAGACCGCGACCAGAAUCAUUCUACUGUUCUUUGCUCGACCAACCGGUCUACAUGCGAGAAAACGAUCCAUCACUUUCUGUAACUGACGAAUCUUCUCCAAUACAGCUUCUAUCUUCAUUUCCCUAAUCGAAAUUUCAGGCUUCUUAUCCCUAUCAUCCCUUCUGCGAUCACGAUCCCUGGCCUCCCUACCAUAGUCUCCAUCUGAGUAAUAUGAAGAACCUCUUUCCCUCUCAUAUGGAUCGUCUCUUCCACCAGUUCCUGAUUUUUGCUUCUGCUGAAACAACGCGCACUCCAAACUCUGAUCAAGAUAAAGCGCGUAAGCUUUAACGAAUGAGGAGUGAUCCCAAGACGCCGAAUGUGCUUCAUCCUUGAAAUCCGACAUAUUAAGAAUCCUGGUCCCUCGGCGUGUAGCGUAGAGGAUCUCCUCGUGAAAGCCUCGAUCUCCAUCGACGAGGAGACGAUGUACAAGUAUUAGGGUUUUGACGGCGAUGAUCCAAUCCCUGGUCUUGUUUAAUCUUCUCGACACCGCAGUGACGCAUGCCGAUAGAUUCGGACGAUUGAAGGUCGUCAGGGAUAUGAUCUCACGCAUAUACUUCUCGUUCGCCGGUUCGUCCUCAUGCGACGUUGCUUUAACGACGGCAACGUCUAGUUCUGGUGCGAUGGCGCUAGAUACCUUGGCGAUUGAGAUGCUCGUUUGAUCUUUCACUGCGCCUAAGGCUUUUCGGAUCGUGCUUCCGGCCAUCGGACAGAAAUUCAACGGCGAGACGAAACCGGGAACCGGAAGAAGAUUAGAUCUUCAAAGUAUUUGGUGGAGGAAAAAGAAGACCAGUGUGAUAGCGAAAUAAACAGUAAACGGAGAGAAGGUGGAGUUCAUAUAUAGUGAUAAUAUAUGUACGAAACUACCCUUGUUAUUAUUUUCCGACUGUCUUCAGUUUUAUUAAGGGUAAAAUUGGUGUUUUAAGUUUCCAUUUGCUUUCCUCAGUUCCUGAAAGAACCAGUCGUCGGUCGUGUGGUUAUUUUACUUUCUUUACCCUCUGAGUAUUUUUAAUUAAAUAUAAGUAUAAACAUUAUCUGUGAAUACUCUUAGAUCCUAUAUAAGGAAGCAUCUCCCAUGCCGUUCAUCCUCAAGACGGAUGACUGCGGACGAACUGCGAUGGGUCAUCAGAGUUCACAAAGUUAGGGUGAGGUACCGCGCCGGAGGUUCGUGGAGGUUCCGGUCGCCGAAUUGGAACCACGAUUCGAACUGGAAUCGAAUUUGACGGAACCAUGUUAGUUUCAGGUGACCACGGACAUUCACUAGCUUCAACUGCGGACGUUCAUAGGUGAAGCUGGCUGUAAAAAUAUAAAUACAGCGAGUUUCAGAUGCGACUCAUCAUUUCAGAUUGGACUACCUCACUGCGAUCCGGUACCUCACAAGAGGAACGACUUAUUCCGAUCUGGAAUACGGUCUGAAACGACGAAUCGGAACCCAUGCCUUAUGCACUAUCGGACGACGAUCGGAACCUCUGACGGCGAUUGGAACCUCUACACGAGCCCAACGAGCCAAGUUUGAAGCUUAAGCUCGGCUCGAUAAGCAAAAGUUCUCAACUAAGCAUGUAUAUCAGUCGAAUUCGGCUCGGAUACCCUGGUAUUUGAAUUCGAAUAAUAUCCGAAUAGAAAAAUCCGAAUCCGGAUAAUUUUUUAUAAAAACUUCAAAAAAAAUUAAAAUCAUUUUUAUUAAAGUUAAUUAAUAGUCAAAUAAUCAUUUUAAAAUUCAGAUAUUCGAAAGUAAAUUUAUAUUUAUUCAGAUAUAUAAAUAUUCGAAUCCGGAAUUAUCAACUGAAUUCGAAUUUUAACGACGAAUAUUGCAGAUAUCCGAAUUCGGAUAAUUUUCGGAUAUCAUCCGGAUAUCAUUUUUGGUAUCUGAAUCUAUCAUUUUUGGCAUCCGAAUCUGAAUAAUUUUCGAAUAUCAUUUUUGGUAUCCGAAUUCGGAUAAUUUCCGAAUAUCAUUUUUUUUGUAUCCAAAUCCAAAAAUCGAAAAUUGGAAUAAACAUAUUUGAAUUCGAAAACGUAUCUCAACACCUUAGCUAUAAAUAAAUUAGUUACAUAUUGGAAUUUCUUCAUUCCUUCAAUAUUGGAAUUUCUCCUCUAUAAAUGUCGAUAUGAGUUGUUUAAAUAAGAGGGGGUGAAACAAAGUUUACCCAUCAAUAAAACCCCAAUUGCUCAAUCCCUAAUUCUUCAUUUCUAUCCUCGGCUCCAGCAGUACGCAGAACUAAGCAGACAUUCUCCCGCUCCUUCCCCCGUCACCGGAAUCCUUCUUGAAGUCGGAAAUAGGUCCGUAACUCUUUCUGGUUCUGUUUUUUCGGUUCAGAUGUAUGUCGAUUUUCUUUCCGCCGUCAAUUUUGUUCUUUGAACCAGAGUUUAUUAAUUUCUUUUCUCUCCGUCACUUCGGUGCUUCGGGUUUUAACUUUUUUUGGAUUCGGUAAUUCGUAAAAAAUUAAAUUUUAUUUAUUGGAAUAUGAGGAUUUUUUAAGGUCAGUGUUUUAAUUUUUAAGAUUAUCUGAUUGUCUUUUAUCUCUUCUUCUCAGUCUAACUCUGAAUAGUUCAAUCUCGGUCGGUAUUUUCAUCUUCUCUUUAAAUUUUUUUCCGGUUUACCGCCUUUUGGACUUGUCUAAUUUCUCUUAUUUAUUUUUAGUUUGUUGUAAAUUCAAUUUUUUAUGGUAUUAUGAUAUUUCGAUAUUUAAACUUGUUCUGAUUUAUGAAAUGUGAAUUUGUAAUGUUAUUCAAUUUAAUUAUGCAAUGUAGUUUUUUGUUAAGGAGUAGUUUGGCGCCUUCCUUUGGUUAAAGUAAUGCAUUUUGAAAUUCGAAGAAUGCAGCCUUCUCAUGCUGUUCUACCUUCAUUUCGAAUAGAUUUAUUACUUAUCUGUACUGUGUGUAGGAAAACAUUCAAGUUGUCGUAAUUUCUCCCAAACGAAAUGUUAGAAAUGACUCAAAUGAGCCUGGUCCCUAAUCAAAGGGGAGGGGUUAGGGACCUCCACAUCAUAUCCAAGGUAGUUAGUAUUAAGAGAGCUGCGAAAAUUUGGAAAAAGAGUGGCUCCAUCCUAGUACAAUGAAUCUAGAAGAGAUACAUUAAGGAUUUAGGGAGAACUGAGAAGGCAGUCUUGGACAUCCAAAUGAAACCAUAGAAGCCAUAGUGAUCAGCUGGUAGAGGGAAUAUGGUCACACAUGACAUGCCAACCAAAUUCUAUAUCAUGUUAUGGAAGACCAAGUAGGACCACCUCAAUACCUUAAAAAAUUAAGUGAAUGGGCAGUCCAAAUCCUAACAACAUGCCUCCUUUGCAGACUCGUUUGUUAUUAGCAUAAUCUAUCUGUAAAUAAAAAUAGUUUAGCAUAGAGACAAAAUGUAAAUUCAAACAUCACCAUACUGUAGUGAUAUCAUAAGGUAUGAUCAACAUGGAUCGUUUGCUCUUUGAUAGGUUAUAUAUCAAAUCGAAACUUGCUAGAGGGAAUCAUAUGAUUUUUUCCUCCACCAAAAUUCAUCUACUGAAUUAUAUAUGUGGAAUUGUUAGGUGAAGAUUUAUUGAAUGGUACUAUGGUACCAUUUACCGAGACUCGGAAGAGACAUAGAACACACUAUUGAUAAUGACAUGAUUAUUUAUCAUUGUCAUUCUAUUCAGUUGGAGCAUUUCACGUGUUUCCACGGCACUAAAGGUUUCGAUGAGGUCUCAAUCCAACCUCACUAGUAUUUUAAGUGAGAAUUUCAUCCAAUGAUAAUAUACUAUAUUGAAUGGGUAAUUUACCUAAUCAUAUAUUAUAUAGAGUUUGUUUUGUAUGUCCCAUUGUCACCCAAACAUUUUACCCUUCAUCACUGUUUUGGCAAUAGAGUUGCAUAUUUAGCUUUAGCUCAUCAAGCAUUUCUGGCUCAGCAUGUUUAAGACAAGAAUUGUAGUGCAUGCUUAGGCGCAAGUGCAAGUGUGCAACUUUAGAAAGAGAUGUGUCAUGUGUAUUUCCUUAGGCUUAUAAACUUAUUUAAGUCAGAUCCAAGUGGAUCUUGGCCUGAAUCCACCUAAGGUUUAAAACUUUAAAUAUUUCAAAACCUAAAAUUUGCCCUGUCCAGUUGUGAUUUUUUGUUUGGCAAGUGGCACCCACCUCAUAUCCCUAAAUCCAAUGCCCGCGAGCCGCGACACUCCUAAUAUGGUUUGCCCUGGCGAGCCUUCUCUGAAAAAAUCUCUUUCCAUUAAAUCUUCUUGCUGUCUUCUUUUAUUUGCAGUAUUUAUUCUGUUUAAUAUCAAUUGAUAAUAUGCAUUAACUAUAAGAUGUAGUCAUGUACACAUAAAAAUAGGAAAUAUAAGCAAAAUAACUAUAAGGUGCAUCUAAGCGUGUCCGAGCACGCAAAAGCUCAAGUGUGCUGGUGGGUGUUGGUGCACAGUGCAUCCAGAAAUUUAAAACCUUAGUUUAAGAACAUGGUGUGUUUAUUUUUAUGAUAUUUGCCUAGUUGUUAUUUUCUAUUGUUUUUUAUUACUUUAAUUUAUUUGGAUUCUGAAUACUUAAUUUCUUAUACGUUCAAAUAAAAUAUUAAAUGUAAUAUGUGUACGUUGAGUUUUUAAAUUAAAUAGAAAUUGCUAGAGUUCAAUCUUAUUGAAUUUUAAUUGAAUAUUCUAUCAAAUAUUUUAGACGUUUUGAAUAUUCUGUUUUGUUAAAUUGCAGAUUAUUUUAGCGAUUGUCUUGAGAGGUUCUGAUACAGUUCUUGCAUCAUGGUAUGAUACUGUCAUUAAAAAAUAUAGGUUCUCUAUCACGUGAUUCGCUAUCACUAUAUCAUAUUUUUGUAGAUAUCAUUGAUAUUUUCUUUUACUGCAGUAUUUUGAAGGCUAUGGCUAUCGUGGAAACACUUUUGAACAAAACUAUCGCUGUUAUCCCGCAUCCUUUAUUGAAAAGGUUUGAUUGCAUUUGAUCAAAUAUUGGAAAUCUGAAAUUGUGGAAUAAUUUUUACACUCUUUUAAAUUUUAAUCUACUGUUUGGUUGAUUUAAUGACCAUACAUAGAUGUGAAUAUUAAUUAUUAUAAUAUAUGACGAUAAAUAUUGGAAAUAAUAGAUAUAGGAGCACAGACAAUUUUCACAUUUCUUCAAUGUAUCUCAAAUUUUACUUGUGGAUAUUUAUAUUUACCUUGUUUUUCUGCAGCCUCAAUUGGAAGCGGGUGAUAAAAGUAUGUGUUAUCAAUUCUUUUUUUUAGCAGUUGAGUUUUUAUUAAUAAAAAUGAAGGAUAUUGCCCUAGAAAUACAAUGGAAUUCAGCAAAUAAAAUAAAAACUUGGUUAUGAGCACUAGACCCAUAUUGCCUAAUAAGAAUUAGGUUGUCUGUCUCAGGAGGUUGGUCUCCCAUAAUCAAAGUUUUAAAAUAAAAGUGUGGGGAUUAUGCGGCCACAUAUUGGUAAUCAGUAUGUGACCGCACACAUUCAUGCCUUAUUUUUGUUUAUUUUUAAUUAGUAAAAAUCAUAUUAAAUAAGUAAAAAUACUUUUAAAAUGAGGGAAAAAAUAAAUUGUAUGAAUUACAUGAAUAAGUAUUAAGCAAUUUCAUAGAAAUAAGUACAAAUUAGGAAUAAAAAUUUCCAAUGGUCUAUUAUUUAUAUAGUUCUUGGACUUAGAAAUAAGUCUAAUAACUAGUUUGGUUUAUUGAAAUAUCGUUUGUUAGGCUUUUAUAAUAAAAAUCUGGUAUUUGAUUAGGCCUAAUUUUUUAUCGCAAUAAACAUCAAAAGACCUUGACAUCUAAUCGCACUAUGCGGUAUGUGGCCGCUUAUUGAAAACAUUGCCCAUGAUAUGUAUCGUGCUAGUCUCCAAGGGAUGACAUCAGCUCUUCUUGAAGCAUUCAGGCCUGAAGGAGAUGCUCAUGUCAUUAGUAACCGAUUUCAGAAAACAUAGACAUUUGGGUAUUUAGGUGAAUCCAUUUUAUUCUCCAUAGCAAAAUUAAAAAUUUUGUAGGUUUGUGUGCUCAUGUUCCUUCAGCUAAGUUAUCCUUAUGGUUUUUGUCUCUAAUUUCUUCACAAAUUGAUGCAAGUUUCCUAUUUGGGCUUCCAUUUCUCCAGAGGGUUGUGUAGUUUGAGCCACCUUCAACCAAUGCACUAGUUUUACUGUUUUAGUCCUAUCCCAUCACAUAUUUCCAGAAAUGGGAGUCUAUGGAAUUUUUUAUUUGUAUAUACAUAAGGGAUUUUCCUUUUACAUAUCUCUCUUGUAUCCAGCUAGAUAGAAUAGAGUCAGAUUUCUCCCAAAACUUGGCAAUUCUUUUGAUGUUUAUUGCUGGAAUUAUGACUUCUAAUUUUCUAACACCUAAUCCUCCCUCUGCUUUGGGGAGGAUCAUCUGCUUCCAUGUGAUCACCUUUCUCCCAUCCCAUAUGAAGGUAUAGGCUAAUUUUCUUAUACCUCUGCGGUUUUUGAAAGGGGGUGUGAGGGUACCCUCCACUAGCACUGAAAAUGAUACUGUUGUGAUACAGUUCCAUAUUAUUUUGCUUUUUUGCAUAGGCGAGGGGAGAAACCAUAAGCUUUUAUUGUGGAGAUUAUGGCUUUCCCACAGUCAUAUACUAUUUUCUCUGCUAGUAAGGGUUAUCAAUUCUUUGCUUUCUUCUUAUUGUGAUAUUUUGACCUGUUUAUUUGUUCGUGUUUCAGUCAUAAUGCCACCUUCUGCACUUGAUCGUCUCGGUAUGGAAGGCUUUAUUUCUUGUGUAUUUGUAUUUCACUAUUCUAUUUUUUUUUAAUCCAAGUUUGGCACACUAACUUUGCUGUUACUUUAAUUUCUAUGCAUGUUGUCUGUAGCAUCACUACACAUAGAUUAUCCUAUGUUGUUUGAACUCCGGAAUGCUGCUGUGGAGAGGGUUUCACACUGUGGUGUGCUUGAAUUCAUUGCUGAAGAAGGCAUGAUUUACAUGCCAUAUUGGGUAAAUUCUCAUUGGAAACAAAUUAUACCAUUUUUUAUAAUUGAUCCUUUGAUCUAAUUUCUGACACUCUGUCUGAUGCUGUUGUUUUGGUAGAUGAUGCAAAAUAUGCUGUUACAAGAGGGAGAUAUUGUCCAAGUGAAGAAUGCCACUCUUUUGAAGGGUACUUACGUAAAACUGCAGCCUCAUACUACAGAUUUUUUAGAUAUCUCCAACCCAAAGGCCAUGUAAGCAUUUUUUUACAUCAUAUUUUCAUGUCUUAAUUGUUAAUUUACUUGACAGGGCUGUCAUGCAAGCAUUUUUAUUAUCAUUCAACUGUGAUUCUGAUGUGCUGACUGUUUUACAUAAAAUGUUCUUUUGCAGUUUGGAAACAACUUUAAGAAACUUUUCUUGUUUGACAACGGGCGAUAGUAUCAUGGUUGCUUAUAACAAUAAGAAAUACUACAUAGAUAUUGUAGAAACAAAGCCUUCUGCUGCGAUAAGCAUCAUUGAAACAGAUUGUGAGGUUGAUUUUGCACCACCUCUUGACUAUAAGGAGCCAGAGAAGCCUGCAGUUUCAAUCCCUAUAAGCAAGGCUCCCGUACAAGGUCAACACAAACUUUGUACAGUGCUUGUUUUAAAUUUAAUAUCAUGUGUGAUUAAUGAGCUUGGCAGCUUGCAUAAAGUUUUAAAUUGAUUCAUCUUCUAAAAAAUGUUAUCUAUUACACAAUGAUCCUUAAAUACACAAGAUUCAUUAUUUUUCUUUUUAAAACCCUGUUUUCAAUGUGCUGAAACUUUUGAUGUUAUUGUUGGUUUAAUUGCAUUUUGACUUUCUUAAUAAUUUCAGCUGAAUCUGAUGCAGAACCUGAGAUGCCUAAAUUCAACCCUUUCACUGGAACUGGUAGACGGUUGGAUGGUAAACCCUUGAAACAACAGACGCCACCUUUGGUUUCUGCUGGCACCACAUCUAAUGAUCCCAAAUCGGAUUCUGCAAAUGGUAGUAAGAAUUCAAGUGGACCAGUUUCUUCACGCCAGACCUCGGGGAAGCUCAUUUUUGGUUCAAAUUCAAUUUCAAAAGACACCCAGAAGGUAUACUGCAUGUAACUAACUAGUCUUGUACCGUCGAAAUGGAUUUGUACAUUUUUCAGUAUGUCAAAAAAAAUUCAUAAUCUAUCUCAAUUUGCAAACCAUACUUUCUGUCAUGCCAAAUAUUUUAAUUGUUUUCUUGAUUCUUACUGAAAAGAAAACAUUAUAACAUACCCAACUGGGUAAUCGAUUAAAAAGGAUCCAUACAUAGAGUAACUGAGUAAGCAUGGUUCCUGAAAUAGCUUUUCAUUUAAAUUCUACAGGUUCCUGCCAAAGAAACAAAUGAUGCAUCUCCAAAGGAAGAAGAAUCAAAAUUCCAAGCAUUUUCAGGAAAGAAGUAUUCGUUAAAGGGUUGAUAUCUUGUAACUACCUGUAAUUUGGUUAUAAUAUAUUUUAAAUAUUCCAUGAGCAUCUUUACUGUUUCAACUCUGUUUUAUAAAUAUUUAUUUUUACAUGAUGAGAUAUGGUUCCUUUUCUAUAACCAACAAUCCAGAAGUGCCUGGAUAUAUUUAUCAUUGUGUAAUCAAAAUCUCUGGUUAGUCGUUUUGCUUUUAUUUGUCAUUUGAGAAUUUUCAAAAAAAAAACAGUAUCUAAUAAACAUGUUUUAUUUUGGUUUUACUCCCUUUGCUCUUUCAUUAAUUUAGUAAUAGUUUCUCAUCCUCCAUUUGUUCUUCGAUUGUGAAUAUUCUAGGGCAUUAUUGUUCAAAGUAGCCAAAUACCUAAAAUCAGGUCCUUUGAAAAACUCUCAGAAAUCUUAAUAAUUACUGUAACCAAAUGAAUCAAAUUUCUCAACGGUCUCAUCUACCUUUAAGAGAAGGAAUCAUAGGAUGAGUCAGUUGCUUUUUCGGCUGAUGACUUCUAUUGAGGUUUCGAACAAGCGUCAAAUACUCAAGUGGGGAAAUCAGCUUAAACUCCUCAGUUGUUUUGACUCUGUUUCGUUGAGACUUCUUUUUUUGAAAUCAAUCUGUCUAAAUGAAUAGAAGUAACCCUUUAUUUAUAGAACUUUUUAUGAAGGUAAUCUGGUCAUUUGAGUCAUAACCGUUUAACUGGUUAGAUCUGGUUUUAAGUCGACUUUCAAGGAUCAACUUUUCUAAAAGUUGACUUUGUCCAGGUCGAUUUUUCAGUUCGACGUCUUAAGGUCGGCUUCUAAAAAGUCAAUUUCUGAAAAAGUCGAUCUCUGAGAAAGUCGACCUGGGUAAAGUCAAUCUGUAAAAGUCAACAUUUCCAUAAUUUGAUUUGGAACAUCCCUUAAUCUAUAUGGGUAUCUUCAUUCAUUUUGGGUUAUCCGAAUCUUUAUUUCCUGAUGUUAUUAUGACCAAGUUUGAAAUAUUUUAUCACCAACUUUCUUAAAAAAUCGUGAACUCCACUUUUGAAGUUUGAAUCUCUUUCAAAAAUCAUAUUUUAUUAAAAGUUUAAACAAAUAUCGUUGUCAUGUGCCGUGAACGUUCGUUUUUAGAUGAACGGGUGGGAUUGAUCCUCUCUUUAUUAUUAAAAAUUGGUAUUAAAGUCCAUUCCACUUCUCUUAGUUCUCUACGUUAACAAAUAACAAUAACUAAUUACGUGUUAUGACUUAAUUUAAAUCUAUUUAAAAAAAAAAAUUAAUAUCCAGGAAAAAGAAGAAGGGCAAAAUGGUCAUGAUACCAAAACUACCAGUUACAACAUGAUACAGUUAAAAAGUCAAAUCAAUGUUCGAACUCCAAAUUCUGAAAGACAAAGAGGGGUAAAUUGGUAAAUAUGUACACACUUCUUUCUCACAUCAUCUUUUUUUUUCCUUCUCCCCUUCUUCAUUCAACGAUUCCAUUUUCCCAUUCCCUCAUUUCUUCCCAUCGACGACUCUCCGAUAUUAGGGUUUCGCCGCCGCCGUCUUUCAUCGUAACGGCCAAUCAAAUAAGAAAUUCCAACCCUCACUGCCGCGUAUACACACAGUUUUUUUCUGUUCGUCAAUCUGCUUAUCCGUGACUUGCCGUUAAUCAGUUAUUCGUUAAGGGUUCCGUUGCUGUUUUAUCGACGGCCGCUUCGGCGGUGUGGCUCAGCAUUGGGCGAAAACGUAAAAAGAAUUAAACAAAGAGAUUAGGGGUUUUUCAAAAUGUGCAUACUUUGUGUUCUCCAAGAAGUAUCGGUGAAGGCGAGAACAGUGCUACCUUGGUUAGUAAUAUUCCUUUCUGUUUUCUGGGCAAUUUCCCAACUUCUCCCACGACCAUUUCGUAUUGAUAUGACCAUGGCUCGAGUGAUUUGUUUUUUCUUCCUUCUCACUGUUGUUCUGUGGCAAAGAAUCCUACAACCUCAACUUCUUUUGUGGCAGACGCUCCGAGCUACCAGGUUACGGGAACAGAGGUGGAAUGAGGCCGUUGAGUUGCACAAGUUACGGAAGAUUGCAAUCCGUAGGUGUCGUAACUGUUUGAAUCCGUACCGAGACCAAAAUCCCGGAGCUGGGAAGUUCAUGUGUGUGUUCUGUGGACAUGUUUCUAAAAGACCGGUGUUGGAUAUUCCAGGUGUAAGAAGUAAGGGAAAAUCUUUGAACUGCACUCAUGGUUGGUCACCAGAGGUGCGGUAUUGGAAUGGUGCCAGAGGAACUGAUGAAAUCUCUAUUCCAGGGAGGUCAUAUUCAGGAACUGUGGUUGUUACAAGGAGAUUGGUUUGUGGGGUAUUUUUGAUAGUGAGGUGGGUUUUUAGGAAGGUUUUUGGAGUUAGGUCUUCUUCAAGGGAAGGUGACGAGUUAUCUGAUGGAGAGAGUAAAGAAAUGUUAAAAAAAGAGCAAGAUCAAGAGAGUAAGCUUCAUAAGUUGAAGAGAAAGGCUGAGGAGAAGCGGCAGGCGAGAUUGGAAAAGGAAAUAUUGGAGGAGGAGGAAAGGAAACAGAGGGAAGAUGUUGCGAGAUUGGUAGAGGAGAGGAGGAAGUUGAGAGAUGAGAAAUUGGUUCAGGAAAUGAAGGGGACGGUGGAGAAUAAGGAGAAUCCCAAGAGUUCAGAGAAGGUAGUGGUGAUGAAAAAGGAAUCUGAGAAGAAGAGAAGGGAUCGAAGAAGAGAGAAAGAUAAGUGUUCUAGUAAGAGCAAUUCUGAUGGGGAAGAUCUUGAGAGGAAGUAUGUUAAUAUGAAUAAUAAUAGAGAGAGUGAUAGAAAGAAAGAUUCUGAUAAAAAAAAUUACAGUGAGAAACGACAGUCGCAAAAAGUUUGCAUUGAGAAUAUUCGGAAUGAGAUAUUGGAAGGAACAGUUAGUUUGAGAACUAAUUUGAACAAUAGAAUGGCAGGUUCAUUUUCAUCCUCGUCCCGUGGGUUCAGUGGGUCGAUUUUUUUUGGCAAGGGCUCUUCAACAAGUCCCGCGGUGUCUGUUAAUAAAUCAAAUAAGUACACUACAUCACAUGCUGUUGAUAGGAGAGAUAAUAGUGCUUCUUCAACAUUUCAGCAGCAACUUGUAAGUUGUUUUCCCUGGCCCUGCGACUAUUAAUUUACAAAUCAUUACUAACAUCAUUAUCAAUAUUUUCCAGGAUGGUUCCAUUUUUCCGCCUCCGACCAAUGUUUGGAAGAAAUCAUGGCAACAAUUGUUCACAUGUUCGUCUUCGUCUUCAUUGUCUUCGCCAUCAUCAUCUGUUUACUCUGUUGGCAGUGCAAACAUCACGUGCAAUAACAACACGCAAUUGAAUGACCAUCAAACAUUGUCUAGUUUCCCUCCACUUAAUCACGGUAAUCAUGUGAAAUCAACGCAAACCAACAAUUCGCAUGGAUCCAUUUCAGAGGAGAUGGAACAUUUUGAAGACCCGUGUUAUGUUCCAGAUCCCAUCUCUCUACUUGGACCAGUAUCGGAGUCGCUUGAUAAUUUUCCAGUUGAUUUGAGGAGUGGGUUUGUUACAAAUGGCAAGAUAGACAAUCCUCAUGUACAAAGGAGUGCAAUAUCCAGCUCUUCUGAUUCUAAACCUUCUCCAAUUGAAUCGCCCAUGUCAAGAUUACGAUUUUCUAGAGAAAAACCUUCUCCAAUUGGACAAGUUUGUGGUUCUCCAAAAGCUCGUGAUUCCCAAACAUUGCGAUGUGAGGGUUUGAAUCAUUCAAAUGAAAUCGGUGCUACAUGGAAGAUGUGGGGUGAUUCACUGGGAGGUUUGGAUCCAUUAGGUAUAGUAGGUGGGUCUGUCAACCGAUUGCUACCGAUAGGUCCCAGCAAGUCGAAUCAUGAUAGUAAUCAUGCCUACUCUGGAUUGAAUAAUUAUCAUGGAAAUUACAAGAAGGAUGGUUUGUUUACUCCACUUGGCAGUAGUGGAUUCAAUGGGGACAUAUUGUGGUCAAAGAAAAAGGGUAUCGAUGAUACAAGAGAAGAAAAAUCAGUUCUGAAAGACACUUCAAAUACAUCGGUGGGUGGCCAUUCUUUUGAAAAAAAUCCAUCUGAUUGUUGGUCCAAGUAAGUUUCAAAUUCUAAUUUCUUUUGAUUUUUUUGUAUUUUGACUAUUAUGCAUACUAAAAAAUAUUACAUAUAUAUGCUUUAGAUGAGAGUCAUUAGUCAAGUAAAAUUACAAGGACGGUGGAAGGUGAAUCGAGAAGUUGUAUAAGAUAAGUCAAAUAAAGCAUAUUAUAGUCUUUCAAGCCUAAAUCAAACACAAUUUAACCUAUCCGGAUUUGGGAAUAUAAGAAAAUAAAAAUAUAUCUUCUGGAUUAAUUUAGAUCUAGCUUUGGAAAGGGGUGAUGAUUUAAACUUGGAACCUGAUCAUUUAGGAAAAAGGUUGAUUAAAAAUGAAACAGCGAAACACAAUUUAUGAAUUACCAUCUAGUGCAUAAUUGCAUGCAUGUAUGCUUAUUAGGAAUAUAAGAAAAUAUAAAAUGAUAUAAUAAUUUUGUAUAGAAUUACUUAGAAGUUAGAAUAUAUUUUGACAUAUCGUGGUUGUGUAACUGGGUUAAGUAGAAACCACCAUUAUAUGUAACUUUAAUAAAUUUGUGCCAUUCUUUGUUCAUCUCUUUGGUGUGGUGACGUUUGGUAUAAAUUUUCAUUGGUUUACUUCUAAGAAUGUCGACUUUAACUUUAUCAGGAAAAAUAAAAAAUAUGUAUUUCUAGUUUAAUUUACAUGAAAUUUCUUUCAUAUUGUUUUCUUGUUUGCAGUUAAACGUUCAUAGCUUAAGAAUCUAAUAAGAACAUGUGAUUUCCAGGUCGGAUUGGGAUGGCGUAUCGAGUUCCGAGGUUGUCGGAAUUUCUGACACAUCAUCUAGGACAAAUCAGGGAGGUCUGUUUUCUUCUGACCCAGAUAUACAAUCAGUUUGGUCAUUCAAAAUUUCAAAUAAAAUAAACAACACAAUGUAACCAAAUAAGAAGAGAAAAAACAUCACGUUCUUUAUAAAAAGGAUGAUGAUGUUGCUAGAGGAAAGUGGUUGCAUUUUUUUUACUUAAUGAAAUAAUAUUUUCUAUGAUAUCUUUAUAUAAUUAUGUUCAUCAGAUCAUUCAGAUGCCUCUUUUUAGUAGGGUUGCAUGACAAGCCAAGCUGAGCCCCAUAUGUUGUUUGUGUUCGGCUCAUUUAGUAAACGAGCUCAUAUUAAAAGCUUAAACUUGGUUUGUUCAUCUAAUUGAACUUUUCAAGCUUGAUUCAUUUAGCAAGCACAAUAAAAAAUAUCCAACUUAGUUAUUAAUUAUUAUCUACGUCAGAUUUUUAUUGCAUGUUCUUAAUCAUGUGAUUGAGAAUAAGAUUAGGUUAUUUAGGUAUGAGUGUAAUCAUCUUAAAUAUAUUUAAAAGUUUAGUAUUGAAAACAACUUACAGAAUCAUAAAAGAGAUAUUCUCUUUCAAAAAAGAAUCUGUACCACAAAUACCAUAAAAAGUUAGUCAAGAAUAUUCAAUUACUUAUUUGAUUAUUGAUAUGGCUUAGGAUUAGGUAAGAAUUUUUUCAUAUGAUUCGGUGUAGGGGUGAGAAUGGGGCAGGUCGCCUCGAUCCCACCUCAUUUUGCGUAAUUAAUUUAUUAUUGUUAUUGUUAUUAAUUAGUAAUUAAUAGUUAAUAGUUAAAUACUUAAAUUAGACACUUAAGUGACUUAACUAGUUGACUAAUGACUAUUUAAGACUUAAACUCCUAAAUUUUAGAUUUAAAAUCUUUUUGUUUUAUUAAUUUUUUGCACUGCAGGGUCGAGGCAGGACCGCCCCGGUCGGGACUUGCCCUGUUCUCAACCCUAGUUCAGUGCAAACUUUGCAUUGGAUGAUCACUUCCAAAAUAUUCUUACCAUAUAACGUAUAUCCUAAAUGGUUUGGAUGAAUAUUCCACGAUGGAGUCAUUGCACAUAUAAGGUGCAACCACUUUAUAAAUGUAUUUAUUGAAUUCACCAAUUGUAUAUUACAAUAGGCAGGCCAUUCUUGUUAAAACUCCAAAUACUUAAAUAAUGUAGAUUUGAAUGGCCAUAGUUCACAAUGCAGUAUCACAUUUAAAAAUUAAACUAAUACCCUCAACACCCUUUUUUCCGUCACUUUGGACUUAUAUAUCUACUACAUCCAUACCUAUCACUUGAGCAUAUAUGAUCAUGUUAGUAUUAUUAUUAUUAGCAUUAUUCCUAUGCUUUCUAGGGGUUAUGCUUGGGCUUCAUUGCAUUAUUCAAUGCAUCUGCAACUUGUGUUGGAUCGUCGAUUCAUCUAAUUCGACUGGAUUGAGCUCCGAUGAGGUUAAUAGAAUUCCAGUGUUGGUCUACUCUGGAGGAGGAGGAGGAGGAUCAAAGGGUGGUGGUUUAGGGAAGGAGUGUUGUAUUUGUUUGAUGGAAUUUGGUUGUGGUGAUAUUUUGAGGGUUUUGCCUUUGUGUAAUCAUGGGUUUCAUGUUAAGUGCAUUGAUACUUGGCUGUUUCAACAUGAUACCUGUCCUACGUGUCGAUUUCUUAUUUGCCGUCCUAAAACAUAGUGUUAUUUGUUCUUCCUAAUUUUUCAUUAAUUUGCCAAAUACCUAGAUAGAUAGAGAUGGAAUUUAAUCUGUGUUUUAGGACAAUUUAAUCUCACUUAUAAUACAUUUAAGGACAUAUAUCUUUCAUCUUUUAAUUUCAAAAAUUUACCCUUCUGAGUAUCCGAAAGUCAAUUUAUAUAUAUUCGGAUAUCCGUAUUCGAAAUUUUCAAUCGAUUUCGAAUUUUAACGUCGGAUUUUUCGGAUAUCCAAAUUCGUUCGGAUAAAAUCAGAAUAUCAAUUUAAGUAUCCGAAUACGGAUUUAAUAUGGUCGGACCUCCGGGCAUCUCUUGUUAAUAGAGUUAGUGAAUGUUAAUUUAAUAAAGCACUUAGGCAUUAGAUUUAUAGAUAAGCUCUUUGAUUACGAUUAUUACAGACUUAGUUAAUUAGUUACAUAGUAUUCAGGUAAGUGGAAAAUCAUGUAAUUUUCACAUGAGUUGCUUUAUUUUAUUAUUUAUAUUCGUUUGGGUUUAUAAAGUUAUAAGUACCACCGACACCGACCACUCCAGCCGACGACUUUAAUUACAAUUCCGGUUCUCGCCGCCGUAACACACAGACUUCGCCACUAUAUCCCUUUUCUUCUCCGAAGAAGAAUCCAAAUCCGAAGUCUCUGAAUCCAACACCGUAAGAAAAUCUCUAGGAGCGUCAUCGCGUAGAUCCAGAUCCGCAAACUCUAUCUCAAUUUUGUUAAAACUUAUCUCGUGAUUUCGAAGAUGAAUCCAUCCACUUGCCGAUCUGAACCCUAGGUGCAAAUUUGCAAUCAUUCAUCGUGUCUGUUUUCAUGGAUCGAUUCUACAUCCGAUUCGCCGUCGUCGUGGCUGUUGUUCUUCUGCUUCUCGGAACUUCUGUCGGUGAAGAGGUCGAUGAUGGAAAUGAAAAGGUUCGUCGCGUUCUUCUAUCUUUCUUUUCCUAAUAUUUUAUAUAUAUUGUUUCGUUUUUUUAUUUAUUUGAUAAACUGUAGAAUUCGUUACUUAUAUCGUCCCUACAGUUGUCGUCUUUUGAGGUGCCGAAUUCGCCUACUGAUUUCAAUGAUACGAGUGAGAUGAAUCGUACUAUUCACAAUCCCACGAAUUCGUCGUCGAUGAUGGGAAAACCAGGACCUCCACCGCCACUUCUGCCUACUUUGAUACCUUUGAAUGGUACGCUGAACACGACUGAUUUUCGCCCACCACCUCCAAUCACUCAGGUGGAUGGUAGACUGAAUUCACCAUCAUCACACACACCUUUGAAUGGUACACUGAAAUCACCACCGUCACCGUCAAUCCCCCCGUCUAAUGCUACACUGAAUUCAUCAAUACUACCACUGUCGCCCCCACUUUCGAAUGGUAUACUGAAUUCACCACCACCAUUGACUCCACUAAAUUCAAAGCCGGUGAUGCCAAGACCUGUUAAAAACAGGACAUUUGAGUCAAAUAAGACAGAUGGGUUACCAAAGUGCAGCAAAUUGAACGCCACCAAUUGUUUUGAUGGGGGAUUAGUCGCCUGUCUUUGGCAUUCUCAAGAUGGUAAUUUCUUAUUUUCUUACUCUUUGCAGUUUUUUCCAAGUAAAUUCGGUAUCAUGUGAGCUAAUGAGGAAAACUGUGAGACACAUCUUUCAUGUUAAAAGGUCAUGGGAUAUUUAAAUCUAGAACUCCAUAACCACUUGGACAGUUAGUUAACGAAGAUCUCAUUGGGUAAAUCAUAUUAGGUAAUUGAAUCUCAUUGUUCUUUAUUUCUUAUUAUCAGCACUUCAUAUUACUUAUAAUUAAAAAGUGAUAAAUGGGGCUUACGGGUUAUUCUUAUUGAUCAAAGAUGGAAAUAAAUCAAUAUGUACUGUCAAAAAAUUAAAUUGCAUUUGGAUUUCUAAAAUGUAAGAUUGUAUGACAUGAUUUUUAAAAUGUCUAAUUAUUACUUUAUAUAUUUACUUUGAAACUAAAAAAAACUUCAUUAUUUAAUUUAAAAUUUCUUCAAUUUCAGGGUCUAAGAAACUUUUCAUCAUCCUCGAAAAUAGAGGAAAAUCUCGUAAUGUUACGAUCGUAACACAAUCCAUCACGAAAUAUAAAUUUCUCUCUGAGAACAGCUUCAACAAGGUUCGUUCCCUCAAGCCUGAUUUUGAUUAUCGCCCAAAAUUCUAAAUUUCUUUGUGUUGUUGAUUCAUUCCAGUUCGAAAUCAGCUCAGCAGUUAAUUCACCAGUGGUUCUAAAUUUCAAAAACAACAACUGCACAAUCAAUCCCACAAGUGAUCUUCAUUUCCAACAAGCAUCUCCUUCCUCCCAAUUUAGUUUCACAAUACCACCUAUAUAUACUCUCCAGCCAAGUCCAAUCUACUUUGCGUACGUUUUUUUUUUAAUAUCUUUGAUAUCUGUAGGAGCGUGUGUUUGUUGUAGAUUUUGUAGAGGGAGUAGAAAUACUGAUGUUGGAAUACCGUACCAACAACUUGAAAUGGAAGCACUUCAAACUCAAACUGUAACUUCUUUAGUUUCUGAUAUAGAAGCACCAUCCUCACAACAACAUGGUUGGGAUCAGUGGGAAGAUGAUUGGGAGGAGGAGGAGGAAAUAACAUCAAACCCCCAGCAAAAGAAACCAAAUGAGCAUACUACCACCAAUACUACUACCAAAGAUGGAUGGGAAGAUUGGGAUGAUUGAUUUUAAUUGGAUUUUAUUCAUAUUUCAUCGGCAAAGUUGAAUACGACGCAUUAAGAUGAGUGACUGAGUUUGCUCCCCCAGGUGAUUUUUUUUGCAGGAAACAAAAAGUAAUGUAAGGUUAGAUUUUUUUGUUGAUUUAAUAUUUUUUUUUUUGAGGAUGUUAGUUAUUAUUUAUUAAGCAUCUUUAUUGUUUAUUGGGUUCAGCUAGGGGUGAGCAGGUAGGGGGAAACACUCGGACCUAAGUACCUAAGGCUAGCAUCCGACCAAAUUAUUGAUUAUUUUAUUGAUUUUAAACAAUAAUGUAGAUUUGGUGGAGAAAUAGAUUUGGGGUUAAAGAUUUAGAAUGUAGAGGGUUGAAUAUAAACUUAUGUAUUUAAUAUAUUAUAUAAGGUUAUUUAUAUAAAUUAUAUUUAUACCUUAUAUAUCUUAUAUAAUAUUUUAUAUAAGGUAUAAAUAUAAUUUAAUUUAAGUACGAGUUUUAUCUGAGAUGGGGAUUUGAAUCUCGUUACUCGAAAAUGACUGGGGAUUUUGGUCAGGGAUUGGGAUUUUCCUACUUCAUGUAGAAAAUCCUUCUUGUACCUGUACUCGACGGAUACAGGGGAUCUCACCCCUAGUUUCAACCUUUCAAGAAAAGGUGGAAAUGGGGUUAGGUCAUGGCUAGGAUGUCAAAUAAAGCUUAGUUCGUUAAGCUCAGGUUCAACGUGUUAAGGAUUUUUUAGUAAUUAAAUAAAAUAUAGAUAUAGAUUUAAAAAAAAAAAUCAGAUUUUAGAUUUGUUUUUCAAUUUACAGAAUUGCAGGUUAAAUUUAAAAUUCGAACCCAAGUUUGUCGAUUUUGCUAACGAGUCCGAGUCUGGAUAAUUCUUUAACGAGCCGAGCUCGAGUUUCAGAAAUUAAGAUCUGAUUUUGGGUCCGGUUAGAACUGAAAGGUGUAAAUCCAGGAUCAGAUAAGCUUCACAAACCCAUAUAAUUUAGGUAAAGAUAAAAUCCAUCAAUUUUUCAAUCGAAGUUCAAAAAAAGAUUUCCUUAUCAAAAUUUAAAUUCUGAAAAAUAUGAACCACAAAUUAAUCAUUACUACUAUUGAUCAUUACUACUAUGAUCCAAUGUCAACAUUUCGACACAACAAGAUUAACUCAACUGAUUACAAUAAUUAUUAAAAUUAUUAAGUGUUCAGAAUUUUAGUAUCGUUGUGUAUGUAAUUUUUAUUUUAUUUUUAUUAUGAUUUAAUCGAUAUUUUAUUAUAUGACCUUAAUAUAAGUUUUUCUACGUGUAAAAAGAUCGCAAGUGUGAAUGAUUGAAUAUACGGAGUUAACGAUGGCUCGAUGUUGAUUAUCAAAUGAAGAUAUUAUUAAAAAAAACUUGAUUAAUUUAAUUAAAAUAAAAAAUAUGGACAUGAGGGUCCCCUGAAAAUAUGGACUUGAUCCAUUCCAUCAAUUAGAUGCUGAGACCCCAUCAGUUUAUUGUUCCAUUCCAUUAUUUGAAUUUUCAAUAUCUUUGAUGAUGUUGAAUCUAGAGAAUUGUUUUAAUUUUUAAAUAUGAAUUAGAUUUUUAAUAUCAAAAAAUUCAAAUAAUGAUGGAUUUGUCAUUUGUCAGUUGUCAAUUUAUCAUCGAUUAAAAAUAAUAGUAAAAAAUAUUUAGUCAAAUAAAUAAAAGGAAAAUUCAACAAAGGUGAGCCAAAUCCAAAUCCAAAUCAACUUGUAAGAGGAAUCAAGCUAUAUAAGGACCAAGAGAGCUCUCCAUCUUCACCAAUCACUUCUUCUUUUAUAACUCCAUCUUCCUCCUCCAACCGAUUAGCUACAAACAUGGCAGUCAUGAAGAUUUUUGGAACGCCUUUAUCUGUGAACGUAGCACGAGUGAUCGCCGUAAUGAAUGAGAAGAACCUGGAAUACGAACUCGUCGAUGUAAAUCUUCACAACGGUGACCAUAAAAAGGAGCCUUUCCUCUCCAUGAAUGUAAGCUUUGUUGUUAAUUUUCUCCCUUUCUUUUGACAAAUGCUUUGGAAUGGUUAAUCCUGAUUAUAAGGUCUAAAUUUGUUUUUCAGCCAUUCGGACAAGUUCCUGCUUUCCAGGAUGAUGACAUCAAGCUCUUUGGUAAAAAAAUAAAAAACAAUCUUUAUUUCUUCUUUCUAUUCUUAUAAAUAGAUUUAUAUUUGAUUCUUAAAUCAAUUCAUAUGCCAGAAUCAAGAGCGAUCUGCAAUUACAUCGUUUUCAAAUAUAAGACAGAAGGCACUGACCUUACUCACCUUGCUGACCUAAAAGAAGGUUCGAUAGUAGGUGUGUGGUGCGAAGUAGAGGCACACCAGUUCAACCCUUUGGUCAGUGGUAUAAUGUAUGAGUACAUCUUCACGAAAUUCUUGGGAGGCGAGACAAAUGAAUCCAAGAUUGAAGAAUAUUGCGCAAAGCUCACGACUGUGCUUGAUGUCUAUGAAGAGAGGCUCAAGACCUGCAAGUACUUGGCUGGUGACAAAUUCUCAAUGGCCGAUCUACAUCACUGUCCCUAUUUGGAAUUAUUCAUGAAGACGCCAAAGGCUGAGAUGGUCACUUCAAGGCCUCACGUGUUAGCUUGGUGGCAGGAUAUCUCCAGCCGUCCGGCAUGGGUGAAAGCCUCCAGUGGUAUGCAAAUUCCGUCGGCCUAGAAGUGCUUAGAUGGAAUGGAUAAUUCAUCGUGUUGUAUCGAGGAGUAAUAAUAGUAAAUAAAACGACAACAUGAGAAUAUAUAUAUAUUGUGAUUUGAAUCCUAUAUAUACAUGGUUAUUGUGACCAGUUGAGUUAAUCUUUUGUAUAUUUAUAUAGGAUGCACUUUAAGUGCACCGUAUAUUGAAUGCAUCACUGUCUGUUAUCAAAUUGUGACCAUUAGUAUUUAAUUUAAUGACUAAAAUAACGUACUGAAUAAGACAUUAACACAUGUACGACGCAAAAUGAUGUAUUGCAUAAGAUACUAACACAUGUACGACGUAAAAUCGAUUUAAUGGACAUGAUCAAUUUGGUACAUAUAACAUUCGUACUGUACGACGUAAAAUUGAUUUAAUGGACAUAAUCAACUUGGUACAUAUAACAUUUGCACUCCGCAUCUAAAUGCUACUGUUAAAGUAUUUAUAGUUUUUAGAAAGAGAUGAUUCAUAUAAUAUCAACAUAAUUUUGGACUUUCUUGGUAAAUACUACCUUCCUUAUCUAGCCAGUCCUCACUCUUCUGUUUCCAAGGUUUCUUCGGGAAAGCCAAACAGAAAACAUGGGCGGGAUGAAGCUUUACGGGAUGCCGAUGUCGACGAACACAGCGCGUGUGAUCGGUGUGUUGAAUGAAAAGAAUGUGGAGUAUGAAUUUAUCCUUGUGAAUCUCGGUAAAGGUGAGCAUAAACUGGAGAGUUUUCUCGCUAUUAACGUAAGUUUUCCCCCCUUUCUGGAUCCGGUGCUUUGAUUUCUAGGUUUUUGUUUGAUUUUUUUUUUUUUUAAUUAUUUUGCAGCCUUUCGGACAGAUUCCUGCUUUUGAAGACGGGGAUCUGAAGCUUUUUGGUAAGAAUCACUGCUGUAGAAUGAAAAAAAUAGGGUUGUGUAAUGCUAUUUUACCUAACAACACUGACGAUUUUUUUCGACUUUAACUAAGAACACAGCUUCCACUGGAAUUAACAUCUUUUUAUACUUGGAAUUCGAUUUUUAAAUAAUGAAGUCAUCAAUAUUAGUGCUACUUUAUUAUAAUUUAUAUGUAGUUAGUUGUGCUUAAAUGUAACUAAUUACAUUUAUAAAUCCUAAAACCUAAACUAAUUAUUGCAAUUUUUGUUAUUAACCCAUGACAUUAAAAUUGGAAAAUAAGAUAAAGAAAGAAUUGAAGAUAAAUCUCAUCUUACUGAAAAGUCUGAAAUAUUAAAUAUCUCAUGAUUUUUUUAAUGGAAAACACAUUAUAGAAAAAGUUACUGGUUAUUUUUUGAUUUAGAUAACUAUUUCGUAUUUUCAUUUGAUGUUUUUGCCUAUUGGAUUUAAUUCUCAAUCAUUUCAAUGACUUGAUCUUGAAUUUUAGAUCUUGGGCGUUUGUUUAUAUUUUUUUUGGAUUUUUCUCUAAUUCACCUACAUUAAAUUUGUAGUAGAAAAAAACAUCUUGAAUUGUUUAUUUUUUUACCAGAAUCAAGAGCCAUCACCAAGUACAUUGCUUAUAAGUACAUGUCUGAAGGAACAGACCUUCUCCACAUGGGUGACUUAAAUGAAGGUGCCACAGUAGAUCUCUGGGUCGAAGUAGAAGCACAACAAUACAAUCCUCAAAUAUCUGUGAUAGUGUAUGAGUGCUUGAUUAAGAAAUUAUUCGGUGAUGUAACCGAUGAAACCAAGGUUGAAGCUUGUUGUGCAAAGGUUGCACCCAUUCUUGAUGUGUAUGAAGAUAGACUCAAGACCUGCAAGUAUUUGGCUGGGGAAAAAUUCUCGCUUGCCGAUCUAAAUCACUGUGCUUACACUGAGUAUCUUAUGAGGACACCUAAAGCUGAUCUUAUAACG
rnacentral:lncRNA from 1 species